rnacentral:rRNA from 1 species
UGCGUAGGUGGCAAGCGUUGUCCGGAUUUACUGGGCGUAAAGGGCGUGCAGGCGGUCUGUUAAGUCUAGGGUGAAAUCCCCGGGCUCAACCCGGGAACUGCGUCCGAUACUGGCAGGCUUGAAUCCGGGAGAGGGAUGUGGAAUUCCAGGUGUAGCGGUGAAAUGCGUAGAUAUCUGGAGGAACACCGGUGGCGAAGGCGGCAUCCUGGACCGGUAUUGACGCUGAGGCGCGAAAGCCAGGGGAGCAAACGGG